rnacentral:rRNA from 1 species
UACGUAGGGUGCAAGCGUUGUCCGGAAUUAUUGGGCGUAAAGAGCUCGUAGGCGGUCUGUCGCGUCUGCUGUGAAAUCCCGAGGCUCAACCUCGGGCUUGCAGUGGGUACGGGCAGGCUAGAGUUCGGUAGGGGAGACUGGAAUUCCUGGUGUAGCGGUGAAAUGCGCAGAUAUCAGGAGGAACACCGGUGGCGAAGGCGGGUCUCUGGGCCGAUACUGACGCUGAGGAGCGAAAGCGUGGGGAGCGAACAGG